rnacentral:lncRNA from 1 species
CUGUCCACAUCUCAUUCCUAAAGGUCCUCUCUCUCUUGUCAAUCAGGGCUCCACGGACAGCAAAACAUUCCCUCACCCCUUUUCAGUUUCCUUGAUGUGACUUACCUCUUUUUGUUUAUUUCUUUUGAGACAGGGUUUUUCUGUGUAUUUAUAGCUGUCCUGGAAUUGUUCUGUAGACCAGGCUGGCCUGAAAGUUGCCUCCUGCCUCUGUCCGCCCCCCAAACCCUGGGUUUAAAGGUAUACACCACUACUAACUGUUGAGGCUCAGUCUCCUAAGAGCUGGGAUUUCUGGAAUGUAUCAGUAUGCCCAUUUUAGGACCCACCUUUUGGAUUAAGGAAUAUCGCAGGAAUUAGAACAUAGUCUUAGUAGAACAGCUCCCUUCUGACUCUGCUUAUCACUGAUAAGGAAGACGUCAAGGCUGGGUUGUGAGUUUGAGGCCAGUCUUGGGCACACAGUUCUAAGCCAUCUUUGGACCCCGUGGAGACUGGAAGGUUCAGGAUUUGAAUUAGGAAGGGUAAACUGACAAGAUUAAAAUCAUGGAGGGUGGGGGCUGGGAAGUUUUUUGUUUGAUGCUUUUCAUAUAUCUUAAGCUGGCCUUGAACUCUUGAUCUUCAUGUCUUAAUCCAUGGAGUACUGGAUUUACAGGUCUGCUAUGCCUAGCUACUUAUUUAUUUAGGACAGGGUCUCACUAUGUAGCUUUAGCUGGCCCAGAACUCAAAGAUCCAGCUGCCUUCGUUUUCCAGCCCUCACAGGACCAAACAGGAACUCAGUUGUUCCCACCUUCAUUCCUCAGUAGUGUUAGUAUCAGGAUUAGAUCCUAUCAGGGUGAUGAUGGAUGCUCUAAUUCCCAAGUACUGGGACCACAGGCAUUUGCCUCCAUGUUUGUUUUUCAAGAGUUUUUAUUUAUGUUUCUGACUUGAAUUUCAUAGGAAACUGUUGGAAAGUUUUAGCUUGGUGUUAAGGCAGAGUUUCCAGCACUUUCUGAAAUGACCCUAAACACUGCUUCCAUGUUAUACUGUGUUUAUGUAAAGCAGUGUUCUCUGCAUCAACUAUGAAGUUGAAAUAUCAGCCAGCUCUAAAUAAUGCUGAUGGCGCUCUGCAGCUUACAGGAUCAAAUGCUCACCCAAAAUUGUUAUGUAAAAAGCACACCCAUUUCUUCUUCCAUAUGCACCUUGGCAUUUCAAAUAAACACCUUCAUGAUUUAUUACUG